GUAACAGCUCAAUUUGAAAGCUGGCUCUUUUAGGGUCCGCAUUGUAAUUUGUAGAAAAUGCUUCGGGUGUGGCCCCGGUCUAAGUUCCUUGGAACAGGACGUCAUAGAGGGUGAGAAUCCCGUAUGUGACUGGGUGCCUUCGCUCAUGUGAAGCUCUUUCGACGAGUCGAGUUGUUUGGGAAUGCAGCUCAAAAUGGGUGGUAAAUUUCAUCUAAAGCUAAAUAUUGGCCAGAGACCGAUAGCGCACAAGUAGAGUGAUCGAAAGAUGAAAAGCACUUUGGAAAGAGAGUUAAACAGUACGUGAAAUUGUUGAAAGGGAAGCGCUUGCAACCAGACUUGCGCGCUGAUGAUCAUCCGGGCUUCUGCCCGGUGCACUCGUCUGCGCUCAGGCCAGCAUCGGUUUCGGUGGUGGGAUAAAGGCCUUGGGAAUGUAGCUCCUCUCGGGGAGUGUUAUAGCCCUCGGUGCAAUGCCGCCUACCGGGACCGAGGACCGCGCUUCGGCUAGGAUGCUGGCGUAAUGGUUGUAAGCGACCCGUCUUGAAACACGGACCAAGGAGUCUAACAUCUAUGCGAGUGUUUGGGUGUCAAACCCAUACGCGUAAUGAAAGUGAACGGAGGUGAGAACCCUUAAGGGUGCAUCAUCGACCGGUCCUGAUGUCUUCGGAUGGAUCUGAGUAAGAGCAUAGCUGUUGGGACCCGAAAGAUGGUGAACUAUGCGUGAAUAGGGUGAAGCCA
rnacentral:rRNA from 1 species